AAGAGAUCAAAUUAACCUUUCCUCUCUCUUUCUUGCUUUCGGCUGGGGAAAAUCAAAGGCAAACCAGAAUUUUUCAUCUUGUUUUUCUGAGAUUUAGCAAGGAAUCAAGGAGGAUUUAUCUAAGGGCAUCCAUCUAGCACGUGAAUUCCGUUCAGGUCGGCCAGCACACUUGAAUUCGGAAAACAGGUAAAGGAAAGGCGAAGGCUGAAUAGGAAUGAACCUGAGCUUGGGUGAGAUUGUACAUGUCAAGCGGCGCGACCUGGAGUGUUCGGUCUCGGGACAUCUGGGUGUUGUAUUUUGAAAGUCGCUGUGCGACCCAGAACUUGUAUAUUUUGAAUGUAAAGUUUAAACAGUAAAUUUUCAAAAGUUUGAAAUCGGGAUCCCGGAAUUUGUAAAUAUUAUAUUAUUUUACAAAGUUUAAUGUUUAAAGCAAAAAUUUUAAUUUGACA